UUCUCAUCGAUUGAUCGUCUCUCGAAAGCGGCACAUGCCAUCCGAAUUACAUAGUGAUGAUGACAUGUCCCCGUUCGAGAGAUGCGCUCUCGAGUAGAA
rnacentral:pre_miRNA from 1 species